AAAACGAACCUGAAAUUGUAUUCGGGCUUCGCUUGCGCAGGAUAGGUGGAAGGCGAAGAACUAUUCCUCGUGGGGGAGGGGAGCCAAUGGUGAGAUACCACUCUUUCGAGGCUAGAAUUCUAACUUCAACCCGUAAGCCGGUAGAAGAACAGUUUCAGGUGGGCAGUUUGACUGGGGCGGUCGCCUCCAAAAAGGUAACGGAGGCGCACAAAGGUUCCCUCAGGCUGGAUGGAAAUCAGCCAGAGAGUGUAAAGGCACUGGGGAGCUUGACUGCGAGAGAGACAACUCAAGCAGGGUGGAAACACGGUCUUAAUGAUCCGACGGUGCUGCGUGUAAAGGCCGUCGCUCAACGGAUAAAAGUUACUCUAGAGAUAACAGGCUGAAGUC
rnacentral:rRNA from 1 species